CGGGAUGUAGUUCAGUUGGUAGAACGUUCGGUUCGGGACCGAAAGGUCGAGAGUUCGAGUCUCUCCAUCCCGA
rnacentral:tRNA from 1 species